rnacentral:lncRNA from 1 species
CGGUCUUGGAGCCCGCCCCCACACCACAGCGGAGAUUAGCGCCCCUCCCCUCCCAGGGGAGGACAGACUGACAGGAAACCAGAGACGAGGCUGGGUAUUGGCGGGAGGGGGGCUGAAGAGACCAUCUCACACACCCUGGGCAGGUGGCUUCCGGGACCCCGGGCCUGCCCUUCCCCCAAGGCACCAGCUCCAGGGGAUGAUUCAAGUGUCUGAGACUGACUCAGGGCACAGAGUGACUCCGGGAGGCAAGGACUCCCUCUCAAGACCUUCAGUGAGUGCCCAAAACACGAAGUCCUGAAUUCCAGGACAAGAAAAGGACUUUUUCUCUGAGCCCCACCCCCACGGACCCCAGCCCAGCAAACUCCCUUCCUUUCCGGACAGCAGUGGCUUUCUGACCAAGCCAUGGUUCCUCUAUAUGUGCCGCCCAGAGGGGCCAUGAAGCCCAGCGAUGACUCCCAGCUCUGCUGGGUCUCAAACCAGAAGAAACAGAACAAGGCCAGAGACACAAUCAAGGAUGAGGAAGGGGCCAGGCCUGGGGUGAGGAUGCAGAGACAAUAAGAACCACCCAGGAUUCCUCACAUCCCAGCGACUCCUGGAAAAGUGGAAGGUGAAGGGUGGAAAGAACAGAGCGCUCUGUGAGGACGGCCCUGUGAGCUCUUCUGGGCUGUUUCUUCAUUCACCUCCACGGAGCUGGGGGGAAGGGCAGCAGCUGAGGCAUCUAGAGAACUUUAUAUAACACAUUCAAUCUGAGUCUCAUUUGAUCAUCAUGCUGACC